UGUCACAGGUAGGGGUGGACCCAGAUGUUAAUAAGGUCACGCCCCUUUUUCCACCUCGAGGAGGUUCCCAAAGCCACCCCAAUGACCAGACACACAAGGCAGCGGCUGGGACACAAAGACACAGUUAAUCCGACUUGGAUGGCUCUCACCUCUUCGCUGGAUACAGCUCUUGGCAGCGGCUGGGACACAAAGAUACAAUUAAUCUGACUUGGAUGGCUCUCACCUCUUCGCUGGAUACAGCUAGACCUAAAGCGUAUUCACAGCAUAUAUUCAGAUGUUCUCUGCUAAGACCGGCAACCUCUUCGUCUUCCUUGGACAAAGUGUACGAAGGCGGGGGUUUGUCUGACAAGGUACACAGCAAUACACAG